CCUGAAUUGCAGAAUCAUCGGUUUGCAGAGAAGCUGGAAACUCUUCUGCACAGAGCGUAUCAUCUGCAGGAGGACUUCGGCAGCACCAUACCACCUGACAGUCUGCUCGCUGACCUGGAGAGUGAAGGGACGUUGAUUCUGCCUCCCCUUGGAAGCUCUCAUCCAAUCCAAGAUGAUGAUGCCACGACAGUCAAGUCAGACGACUCCUUUUUCUCUGCAGCUGAGUUGUUUGAUACAUAUUCUUCAGAUGACACGUUUCAUCACCUGAAGCCUGCAGCUCUGUAUGAAGAGGCUCUGAGUUUAGUUAGAGAUGGAGGUGUGGCCUGCAGGUCACUGAGG